UACGUAGGGGGCAAGCGUUGUCCGGAAUCAUUGGGCGUAAAGAGCGUGUAGGCGGUCCGGUAAGUCGGCUGUGAAAGUCCAGGGCUCAACCCUCGGAUGCCGGUGGAUACUGUCGGGCUUGAGUACGGAAGAGGCGAGUGGAAUUCCUGGUGUAGCGGUGAAAUGCGCAGAUAUCAAGGAGGAACACCAAUUGCGAAGGCAGCUCCGCUGGGACGUUACUGACGCUGAGACGCGAAAGCGUGGGGAGCAAACAGG
rnacentral:rRNA from 1 species